rfam:Fibulorhizoctonia sp. CBS 109695 unplaced genomic scaffold FIBSPscaffold_67, whole genome shotgun sequence.
GGAUGCCUGGCGCAAUGGUAGCGCGUUAGACUUCGAUCGUCCAACGCUUAUCUAAAGGUUGCAGGUUCGAGUCCUGCGGUGUUCA